AGUCCUUCAGCGGCUCUUCAAGACGGCCUCCAUAUUUAAAUGCAACUGGCUGUUUAAUUAAAAGCAGGUGCAGUAAUUCAAGUGCACAGUACAUUGGAACAAAUGCAAAGUAAAACCCUAGGAGUUCAUUUUGUUUUAUUUUAUUUUAUUAAAAACCUUUCUACUGGGUGUCUGAAAAUAAAAAGGAGCCACGGAGGCCUUCGGCGGCUCUUCAAGACGGUCUCCAUAUUUAAAUGCAACUGGCUGCUUAAUUAAAAGCAGGUGCGCUUAUUCAAGUGCACAGUAAAUCGGAACAAAUGCAAAGUAAAACCCUAGGAGUUUAUUUUUGUUUUAUUUUAUUUUAUUAAAAACCUUUCCACUGGGUGCCUGGAAGAAAAAGGGAGCCCGCGAGUCUAUCAGCGGCGUUUUAACCGUGUCGCCAUGUUUCAAGGCGGCGGACAUGCAACUGGCUGCUUAAUUCAAAGCAGGUGCAGUUAUUCAACUGGGAAUUAAUUCUUAAUUUUAACACGAAUAGCUAUAAACAGGUAAUCACUCCCUCCCCAGGUACGAGCGUUUGUUUAGCCAGUGUUCCCAAAAACCAACUUAAUUCAGAAAAGGGACUUACGGUUAGACGAGCAAAACCGCCACCAAAAACGGGUCUCUGCAGCCACGAGGCUCGGAGAGAAGCCGGAAGUGGUUUUUUUUUUUUUGCUCGGAGAGAAGCCGGAAGUGGCUUUUUUGCCUGGUCACGUGGUCGAAGCCGAUUGGCUGAGUUUUGCAAGCUCUGCUUUGCUUUUGCUUUGCGGAAGACCUGCUGCUUGCUGGGUUUGAGGACUAGAAACCUGGAAUGACUUCUAGGAAAAACACAAAACCAACCACCAGGAGAAGUCAGAGACAGAUGCUUCAGCUACGGGAUACGGAAGACGGGGCCAAGGGCAGAAGUACCUUCGCACACGAUGCUGUGUUGACAGGGGAAGAAAAGGACCAGCAGCGCCAGUUCCGAGCAAACCAGGCACUCCGAGGGGGCCGCCACUUUUGGCACGCUGAGGGCUGCGUGGUGCAACAGGUUGAACCCUUGUUGAUUCUGGAUGGUAAAAUCGAUGCCAGGGACCUCAGUGAGGGCUUCGAUGAUGCAUUUGAAGUCGGCAUUGAUGGCGUAGUGAAGGGGGGUCUCUCCC